UGUAAGCGUAUACCAAAGUUGUUGCAGUUAAAACGCUCGUAGUCGGAAUUGGGCAGUUCCGGAAGUGUGCACGUCGUGUGCGCACUUUGCGGGGACUGCUUUUGUGGUCUUGCGUAGGAUGAAGCACUUUCAUUAGUGAACGUCCUCACGCAACCACUCUUUACUGUGAGAAAAUCAGAGUGCUCAAAGCAGGCAUUUGCCGUGAAUGUAUUAGCAUGGAAUAAUAGAAUAGGACUCGGUUCUAUUUUGUUGGUUUGUUGGGACUGAGUAAUGAUUAAGAGGGACAGUUGGGGGCAUUUGUAUUCCGGCGCUAGAGGUGAAAUUCUUAGAUUGCCGGAAGACAAACUGCUGCGAAAGCGUCUGCCAAGGAUGUUUUCAUUGA
rnacentral:rRNA from 1 species